rnacentral:ribozyme from 12 species
AAGGAGCAAAAGCUGAAAGGACAAACUGCAAGUCUGCAGCUCAUAAUAGUCUGACCUUAAUGGUGAAGUUGUUUUUUUUAUUUUUUAUUUUUUGCUUUUA